rnacentral:lncRNA from 1 species
GUCAGCUUUGCUUCGCUUUCGGUCAUUCUUCUCUUUUUUUUUUUUAAACCAAACGCCUCAGGACGGACAGACGGACUCCAUCACCCUCCAGCAAGAGCUGUUCCCAGCGAGGCUGUGACGAGGCAGAACGGACGCAGCUCCCCGCUGCAGCCGCCCAGGGCAAACCCGACUCCCGCACGUUCCCAGACGGCCAUUUCUCCCCACCCCGAGAACCGAAUUCGAAGAACAAACCCAAGAGAAACUAACCCGGCAAAGGACGCGGCUCGGCUGCUCGGGGUUUCUGGGGUAACCCGAGGCCACCGGGCCGCCCCCCCGCGUCCCCACGCAGCCGGAGCGAGGCAGGGCAGGGCAGGUGCCGGGCGCGGCCGCCGACCUUCGCUCCGCGCACGGGCAGCGCCGCACCGGGAGCCCCGCGGCUCAAAGCUCCCCCAGCAGCGGCUCCCGACCCGGGGGGCUCCGCCGCGCCCGGCCUCAGCUGUCACGGCCCCGGAGCCGCGCCGUGAUUUCGUAACAGGGUGCCGAACAUUACGUAAGAAAACAGUUAUUCCCGCUGUGACGCGCCUCGGAGGGCAAAAAGGAAAGGCGAACCGCCAUCGGCUGCCACCCGGCGCCGGUCGUUCCCCCCCCACAAUCACGCAGCGCGGUGACCCGGCGACCCGGACCCCGCUCGCUCUACCUGGCCCCACCGCGGCGGCAGCACCGCGCGCUGCGCUCCGCUCCCGAUGCCGCCUCGGGCUCCUGCGGCUCGGCCUGACCCCGUCCUGUUCCGGCCCGGCGCCUCCCCGGGCUCUGCGGUGGCGGCUGCGUGACGUCGGGCGGGGACGGCGGGGAGGGGACGGGGCGGGACGGGGCGGGCUCUGCCGCCGCACCGGGAGCCGGGAGCCUUUCCCCGGACUCAGCGGCACCGAGCGACCCCGGCUGGACCGGGACGCAGCACCCCCGAAGCGGCCCCGAGGCACCUGCAAAGCGCGGCCCUCGGCCCCGGCUGGAAACCGUGUCGGAGGACUCGCCGGAGAUGUCCGUAUGAUGCAGCAGUGGGUGAAGGAGCUGCAAAGCGGAGAUGCUCAGGGAAGGACCGUUUGCAGCACUUUGCAUAACGCGCAUCUGCCAGAAGAUGGCAGCAGACGCCCUGGGAUGGAGCUGGCAGCGGUGGCAGCUGCUCUGCGGGGCUCUAUUUUUCAUAUACUCUUACGAGCUGCAGAUUGCGCUGCUAGGGUUGAUUCAAAUACAGCUUCAUUCCUAUCACUGAAGGAAGUAAGAAAAGACCACCAGAAAAUAAAGGGGGACCAUAAUAACAGCAAACUCCCACGGUUUCUUUCGAUCUCAGAGAACAGCAGUGAGACGUCCUUACAGCCACAGUGUUUUCUGAAUCUACACAACCACCUUGUCUUGGAAGCAACAAUUUGGUAUGUAAGAUAAAUAAGUGAUAAAAACCUGCCAAUGUUCUUUGUAGGCUAUUUAAACUCAAAGAGCUGCUGUAAAAGGAAGCAUUGGUAUUAAUUUGGUAGAUAAGACUUCCACUUGUGGUCACAGGGCUGCAAACCAAUGUGAUUAAUACAAUGCAGUCUAGCACUUCAGGGUUCCUCUGUACAGUUACAAACAAAAUGCACGAGUGCAAACCUACAUGUGGCUGAGCUAUGGGUGUGCACCCUCAGCCCUAAACAAAGCUGCAUUUCAGUAGCCAAUAAAACAGGACACAUUCAGCCUCCA